rnacentral:lncRNA from 1 species
CUUUUUUUCAGAUUUUGGAAUAUUUGCAAAUACCUAAUAAGAUAUCUUUGGGAUAGGACUUAAGUCUAAACACAAAAUUCAUUUAUGGUGUGCAGUAAGAGUUGCAUAAUAGUAGUCAUUGCUGUUAUUGUUUAAAACUUUGGAACCAGUCAGAACUGGGUCUCAGCUGUGGCUUCAACUCUUCAUGGCUGGUGAGUCUGAGCAAAUGACUCCACUGAGCCUUAGUGUAGCCAUCGUGUUGCUGUUGAAGAAGCUGGCCUGGCUCAUAGUUGGUUCAGCAUUUUUUUUUUUUAAUAAUUUAACAACUGGAAAAUAGAGAAGGGGUGAGUGGUAAGAGCAGCCAGUAUGUUUGCAGCUCAGGAGUGACAGCAAAAGACUUUUUGGCCAGCUCCUGCAGUAGGACCUGGAAAAUGUCAGGUUUGGAGGGGGCCAGGAAUGAGGCAAAGUGUGUCCCCUUUGUACUCACCAGACUGUGGCUGAGGGUCUAGAGCAGGCACAAGGGUAUUGACCGGGCAUCAGUAGUACAACCAGUAAUUCUAGUGAACAGUAAUGAUAACGCAACAAUAGCCAAUGCUAACCCUGGUUUAGGUGCACAUAGUAUUAAGGGGACACCCGGUGAUAUGAUGGUGUGACCCUGAGAGUGCAGAGGCUUAACACAAUAGAAACUUAUUUCUCGCUCAUGAAAAAUCCUGUUGGGUGUUUGGCUGGGGCCUUUCUAUGUGGUGAGCUAGGGACCAGAUCCUGUCUAUCUUGUUGUCCCAGUGUCCCCUCUGACCUUGAAAUCAUUUCCUUCCAGUUGGUGGACAAGGAAGGAGAGAAAUGACUCCUCUGGGGAUACUCUUACCGGCUGAGUCUAAAGCGACACACAUUCUUACUGUCUUUAUUUGCCAGAACCUGACCACAUGGCCAGAUCUGACUGUAAGGGAGUCCAAGAAACAUCUGCAAGCCAUAUUCCAAGAGAGUUGGAAAUGAAUUCUAGUAACCCAUAGAAGUUUCUGCCAAAGCAUAUCCAAGCACACAACUAAGCCUAGCACGUCUUAUUUAAUUCUCAUAAUGUUUCCAUCAGGCACUAAUUAUCCAAUUUUACAGAUGAGGAAACUAAGGCUCAGAGAAAUGAAGUCACUGGGUUCAGGGUCAUGCAGCUGAUGAGGAGACAAAGCCAACAUGGUAGUCAAGGUGUUCAGAUGCCGUCUUAGUCCAUUUCUGUUGCUAUAACAAAAUAUCUGAGCCUGGGAAAUUUAUAAAGGAAAGGAGUUUAUUUAGCUCACGUUCUGGAGGCUGGAAGUCCAGCACUGGGCAGCCACAUCUGGCAAUGACCUUGUUCUGUGUCAUGACAUGGAGGAAGGGCAGGUGCAGAGGAGAGGGAGGAGGACCAGGCUGCUUCACAACAGCCCACUACCCUGAGAGACAUUAAUCCCUCUUGACCUAAUCCCCUCUUAAAGUUCUCCCCCACCUCUCAACACUUGAACUGGGGACCAAAGUUCAGUGUGAGUUUUGGAGGGGACAAGCCACAUCGGAACCACAACAGACACUGGAGCAGUAACAUUCAGAUUUCCAUGAAUUUAGUCAUUUAUUGGAGAAUAAGAUACAGCUGUGGAAGUCAGGGAGGCGCAGGUCCCCACACGGUUUAGCUAUGAUUUCUUGGGAUCCCAGAACCCAGAAGGGCUCUUACAGUGGAGCCCCGGGUUGAUGCCACCCAGUACCCAGCCCCUGGCAUCUUGUUCCCUUCCCCCCACAUCUGGCCUGCUUGGCAUAGCACAUCUAUG